ACAGAAUCCGCCCACUGCAGCAAGCUAAACCCACCAUACAAUAAAAUUCAAUAACAUGAUAUGACAAUUAUUGUAAUUCACAGCCUUUCAAGGCUAAAUACAUAUUUCAUACAUUUCAACACAAAUAUCAAUUUAGCCAUUCAUGCAAAUAUUGUCAUAAGCCAUUCGAUUUCAAAUCAUAAAUUUACAAUAUAACAAGUGGUCUCCAAUUACUCUAUUUUUCAAAAUCAUUAUUCGAUUUUAA
rnacentral:lncRNA from 1 species